rnacentral:rRNA from 1 species
UACAGAGGUCUCAAGCGUUGUUCGGAAUUACUGGGCGUAAAGAGUGUGUAGGCGGUUUUGUUAGUUUGGUGUGAAAUCUCCCGGCUUAACUGGGAGGGUGCGCCGAAUACUGCAAAGCUUGAGUACUGGAGAGGAUAGCGGAAUUCCUGGUGUAGCGGUGAAAUGCGUAGAUAUCAGGAGGAACACCGGCGGUGUAGACGGCUAUCUGGACAGUAACUGACGCUGAGACACGAAAGCGUGGGGAGCAAACAGG